UACGUAGGUGGCAAGCGUUGUCCGGAUUUACUGGGCGUAAAGAGCGCGCAGGCGGUCGUUCAAGUCGCGUGUGAAAGCCCCCGGCUCAACUGGGGAGGGUCACGCGAUACUGAUCGACUCGAAGGCAGGAGAGGGAAGUGGAAUUCCCGGUGUAGUGGUGAAAUGCGCAGAUAUCAGGAGGAACACCGGUGGCGAAGGCGGGUCUCUGGGCAACUACUGACGCUGAGGAGCGAAAGCGUGGGGAGCGAACAGG
rnacentral:rRNA from 1 species